rnacentral:rRNA from 1 species
GACGAACGCUGGCGGCGUGCUUAACACAUGCAAGUCGAACGGAAAGACCAGGCUUUUGUUGGUUGCUCGUGUGGCGAGCGCGUGAGUAACACAUGAGUAUCCUGCCCUUAACUGUGUGAUAACUUCAGGGAACUGCGGCGCAUACCGCAUAUGAUCUCCUGAUGCAUGGUGUUGGUUGGUAAAUUUCGGCGGUUGUGGAUGGACUCGCUGCUUAUCAGCUUGAUGGUGGGGUAGGGGCUUACAAAGCCUUCGACGGCUAGCCGGCCUGCGAGCGUGUACGGCCACAUUGGGACUGAGGUAGGGACCAGAAGCCUAAGUGAGGCAGUAGUGGGGAAUAUUGCAGAAUGGGCGGACGUCUGAUGCAGAAAUGCAGCGUGCGGGAUGCCCGGCUUCGGGUUGUAAACCGCUUUCGACUGUACCGAACAGUGAGUGACGGUAAUGGGUAAAGAAGCACCGGCUAACUACGUG